AGAGCCUGUGAAGUUAGCCAAGAUGACUGCCCGGAGAACCCACAUAAAUAUACACUUGCUCAAUUUUUUUUAUUUUUUUAUUUUUAUUUUUUCUGAUUAAUUUAUGCGGCUAAUCAUAUAUAUUAGGGAGAAAUGCAGGCAAGUCAUUCUUGGCUACUAAACAAACCUCUUU
rnacentral:pre_miRNA from 1 species